UCACAACCAUCUGUAAUGGGAUCCGAUGC
rnacentral:piRNA from 2 species